CAUGCCUUCCAGAGAGGGCGGGGGGGGAGUGAGACAGAGAUGCAGAAAAGGAAACAGAAAAAUUGAGUGGAAAUAAAGAGACAGACAGGCAAACAGAGAAAGAGAAUGGCGGCACUGACCUAAAUUGCGCUUUUGAUCGUCGAUGGCGAUGAAGCGAAUGCAGGGAUUAUUGGAGACGUACUUGGCGGCCCAGGGGACGUCGAUGUGAGCCUGGGCCUUUGUAGAAGAGGCCCAGCGCAUAGCACCGACAAGUAGCUUACCGCCCCAAGCUGCUGCCGCUGACUCUCCUCUAGCACUUUCGCAUAGGGAAACAGAGGGACAAUGUCAGGGAGUUUAAGCCUGUUACCAGGCCGGCAUCAGUUCGCCGAGCCUGGAUACACAGAACCUACAGUAUGCUUACAAUGGAUACCACUGAGGUGAUGGGACUGCGCCCGAAGUCUAGGAAUCUGUCAAGCUUUCAGAUCUAUCCGCUGCCUUCGACACUGUGAACCAUCGGAUCCUCGUCUUCACCGUCACAGAGCUGUGCAUCUCAGGCUUUGUUGGAUUGCAUCCUACCGGACAGGCCGCUAGUUAGUACCAGGUAGCGGCACAAAUCUCUGCAUGUCUCACAGAUAUCUCAGCUUGGAUGUCUGCCCACCACCUCAAGCUCAACCUCGACAAGACGGAGCUCCUCUUCUUCCCGGGGAAGGCCUGCCUCCACUAAGACCUCUUUCCAUCACGGUUGACAACUCCAGUGUCCACUUCCCAGAAUGCAAAGAGCUUUGGCGUGACCCUGGACAACAAACCCUCUGUGGUUCUCUGCAAACAUCAAAGCAGUGACUCGCUACAGCAGGGUCAUGCACCCCAACAUCCAUAGAGCACGACCCUACCUCACACAGGAAGCUGCACAGGUCCUAAUCCAGGCACGUCAUCUCCCGCCUGGACUACAAGUUCUCCCAUGUCACGCACUGCUCUGCACACUCCACUGGCAUCCAGUUGAAACUUUGAAAGUUCUUGAAAUUUUCCGAAUUGACUGACCAUGUCUAAAAGUAAUGAUGGACUGUCUUUUCUCUCUGCUUAUUUGAGUUGUUCUUGCCAUAAUAUGGACUUGGUCUUUUACCAAAUAGAGCUAUCUUCUGUAUACCACCCCUACCAUGUCACAACACAACUGAUUGACUGAAAUGCAUUAAGAAGGAAAGAAAUUCCACAAAUGAACUUUUAAUAAGGCACACCUAUUUAUUGAAAUGCAUUUCAGGUGACUACCUCAUGAAGCUGGUUGAGAGAAUGCCAAGAGUGUGCAAAGCUGUCAUCAAGGCAAAGGGUGACUACUUUGAAGAAUCUCAAAUCUCAAAUAUACUUUUUUGGUUA